CGAUACGUAGCUGGUCUGAGAGGAUGACCAGCCACACCGGGACUGAGACACGGCCCGGACUCCUACGGGAGGCAGCAGUGGGGAAUAUUGGACAAUGCGGGAUACCCUGAUCCAGGCAUCCCACGUGUGUGAAGAACGCCUUAGGGUUGUAAAGGACUUUCAGUGGGGAAGAAGGCAUGAUGAUUAAUACUCGUCAUGAAGGACAUCACCCACAGAAGAAGCACCGGCUAACUCCGUGCCAGCACCUGCGGUAAUACGGAGGGUGCAAGCGUUAAUCGGAAUUACUGGGCGUUAAGGGCGCGUAGGCGGCUUGCCAAGCCGGAUGUGAAAGCCCCGGGCUCAACCCGGGAACGACAUUCGGAACUGGCAGGCUAGAGUGCAGGAGAGGAAGGUGGAACUCCAGGUGUAGCGGUGAGAUGCGUAGAGCUCGGGAGGAAUACCAGUGGCGAAGGCGGCCUUCUGGACUGACACUGACGCUGAGGCGCGAAAGCGUGGGUAGCAUACAGGAUUAGAUACCCUGGUAGUCCACGCCGUAAACGAUGUCGACCAGCCGUUGGACCCCUUGAGGGUUUGGUGGCGCAGUUAACGCAAUAAGUCGACCGCCUGGGGAGUACGGCCGCAAGGCUAAAACUCAAAUGAAUUGACGAUGGCCCGCACAAGCGGUGGAGCAUGUGGUUUAAUUCGAUGCAACGCGAAGAACCUUACCUGCUCUUGACAUCCUGCGAAUCUCCCAGAGAUGGGAGAGUGCCUUGGGGAACGCAGAGACUGGUGCUGCAUGGCUGUCGUCAGCUCGUGUUGUGAAAUGUUGGGUUAAGUCCCGUAACGAGCGCAACCCCUAUCCCUUUUUGCCAGCGGUCCGGCCGGGAACUUCAGGGAGACUCCCGGUGACAA
rnacentral:rRNA from 1 species